CCCCCACCCUCCGCGCCUCCCCGUCGGUCGGUCGGUCGGUCCGUCGGUCGGUCGCCGGGCAGCGCACCUGGCGCGCGGGUGCGUCGCGCGCGGCAGGGAUUUCGGCCCCGGCCGCCCGUCUCUUCCCACGACGCGGCCUGCCAGCCCCGACGGCACGGAGGCUGCCCGGGACCCAGGGGCCGGGCUCCCCGCGCCCGCGGCCCUCGCCCCGGACGCCACGGCGGGCCCCCGAGUCGGAGGCGAGGGGCUCCCGGGACCCCCGGCCCAGGGCGGGGCCUCCGACGGCGCGGGCCCCCCCCGGACCAAAGGCGGUGGGCCCCCUCCCCGGCAGCCCCCGGCCCAGGCCCCUGGCCGCGGCGACAUGCCCGAGCUGGUGGUGACGGCGCUGCUCGCCCCGUCGCGCCUGUCGCUCUCGCUGCUGCGCUUCUGCAUGUGGGUCGCCGUCUACGCCGCCGCGCUGCUGGCCGCCGCCGCCUACACCUGCGCCGCGCUGCUCGGGGUGCUGUGCCGGCCCCGCCUGGGCUGCUGCGGCCGCCCCCGGAGCUCCCCGCCCGCCGGCCUGCGCGACCCCGCGCUGGGCGAGCACCGCUUCCUCGCGCUGCAGAGCUCGGGGCUGCGGCUGCACUACGUGUCGGCGGGUCGCGGGAACGGGCCGCUCCUGCUCUUCCUGCACGGCUUCCCGGAGACCUGGUUCUCCUGGCGCCACCAGCUCCGCGAGUUCGGGCCCCACUUCCACGCGGUGGCCGUGGACAUGCGGGGCUACGGCGGCUCGGACAAGCCCGGCGGGGUGGACAGCUACACCCUGGACCUGCUGGCCGCCGACGUGCGGGACGUGGUGCACGGCCUGGGCUACUCCAAGUGUGUGCUGGUGGCCCAUGACUGGGGCGGGGUGAUAGCCUGGCACGUCUCCACCUACUACCCAGCCCUGGUGGAGCGCAUGGUGGUGAUCAGUGCCCCGCCCAGGCCCGUGUUCCAAGAGUUCUCUCUGCGCCACGUCACCCAGCUCUUCCGUUCCAAUUACAUGUUCCUGUUCCAGCUGCGCUGGCUCCCCGAGAAGCUGCUGUCCAUGUCUGACUUCCAGCUCCUGAAGACCACCCUGGCCCACUACAAGCGGGGUAUCCCCCAGCUGAGCCCCAGUGAGCUGGAGGCCUGCCUGUACGACUUCACCCAGCCGGGAGGGCUCACCGGACCCCUCAACUAUUACCGCAACCUGUUCAGGGACUUCCCCCUGGAGCCCCAGGAGCUGUCCACACCCACGCUGCUGCUCUGGGGGGACCAGGACCCGGUUCUGGACAAGAGGCUGGUGGAUGCUAUCGGGGCCCACUUCAUGCCGGGACGCCUAGAGGCUCAUGUGCUGCCAGGGGUGGGCCACUGGGCCCCCCAGAGCCACGCCGCCCUGGUGCACCACUACAUGUGGGCCUUCCUGGGGGACCUGCCCCGCUAGCCCACCCCCUCCCCAAGGGCGGGUGUGAGUCUGGGAGUGGGGGCCUCUCCUCCCCUGUCCGCACCGCCUCUGGGAAGAGAGGACUGAACAGAUCUUGAGCCUUGACCUCCUCGCCCUCCACCCCAAGCUGGAAAGAGAGAGAGAAAGAGAUCGGGCAGAGGUUACAGGAAAGAGAGAGAGAGAGAUCGGGUGGAGGGUACAGGGUUAAGAGAUAUAGAGAGAUCGGGUGGAGGGUACAGGGUUAAGAGAUAUAGAGAGAUCGGGUGGAGGUCACAGGAUAGAAAGAGAGAGAUAGGGUGGUGGUCACAGGGUUAAGAGAGAGAGAGAGAGAUUGGGCAGUGGUCACAGGGUUAAGUGCACAUUGUACUAAGCACCAGGACCUCUCCAUGGAUCCAGGUUCAAGCCACCGGCUCCCCACUUGCAGGGGGAUGCUUCACUAGUGGUGAAGUAGGUCUGCAGGUCUCUCUCUCUCUCUCUCUAUAUAUAUAUAUAUAGAAAGAAAGAAAGAGGGAGUCGGGAGGUAGGUCAAUGAGUUAAGGCAAAGCGCAAGGACCGGCAUAAGGAUCCCGGUUCGAGCCCCCGGCUCCCCACCUGCAGGGGAGUCGCUUCCCAGGCGGUGAAGCAGGUCUGCAGGUGUCUGUCUUUCUCUCCCCCUCUCUGUCUUCCCCUCCUCUCUCCAUUUCUCUCUGUCCUACCCAACAACGACGACGACAACAAUAAAAACAACAAGGCCAACAAAAGGAGAAAUAAAUAAAUAAUAAAAAGGGGGCAGGGGUAGGUAGCAUCAUGGUUCUGCAAAGAGACUCCUAUUCCUUAGGUUCCAAAGUCCCAAGUUCAACCCCCUGCACCACCAUCAGCCAGAGCUGAGCAGUGUGCUCUGGUAAAAUAAAUAAAUGGAAAAAAUAAGAAGGAAGAAAGAAAGAAAGAGAGAGAGAGAGAGAGAGGUGGGGAAUGUGAUGCAUGUACAAACUAUUAUAUUUACUGUUGAAUGUAAAACAUGAAUUCCCCAAUAAAGAAAUUUUAAAAAAGAAAGAAAGAAAAAGGAAGUGGUCUGGGAGGUGGCACAGUGGAUAAAGGUUUGGACUCUCAAGCAUGAGGUCCCGAGUUUAAUCCCCGACAGCACAUGGACCAGAGUGAUGUCUGGAUCUCUCUCUCUUCCUACCUUUCUAAUAAAUAAAUAACUAACUUUAAAAGAGAGAGAGAGAGAGAGAGAGGAAAAAGAACCGAAUAAAGUCAGUUUCAAGGUGGCUCUGUCUCUCUGCCGACCUCUGAGGAGGCUGGCUCCUUCCUGUCUGCAUUUUUUUUUCUCUAGGUGACUGUUUCUUCCAAUAAACUUCCUGUCAAAUAAA